rnacentral:rRNA from 1 species
UAAGGAGGAUGCGAGCGUUAUCCGGAUUUAUUGGGAUUAAAGGGUGCGUAGGCGGCGAGUUAAGUCAGCGGUAAAAGCCCGGGGCUCAACCCCGGCCCGCCGUUGAAACUGGCUGGCUUGAGUUGGAGAGAAGUAUGCGGAAUGCGCGGUGUAGCGGUGAAAUGCAUAGAUAUCGCGCAGAACUCCGAUUGCGAAGGCAGCAUGCCGGCUCCACACUGACGCUGAGGCACGAAAGCGUGGGUAUCGAACAGG